GGAUUAGGCAUGCAAGUCGAGCGACGUGUUUUCCUUCGGGAAAAUUACGAGCGGCAAACGGGUGAGUAACACAUUGGUAACCUACCUCUUUCUCAAGCAUAGCCCACCGAAAGGUGGAUUAAUACUUGAUAGUAAUGCGGGGACACAAGUCAUUCGCAUUUAAAGAUUUAUCGGAAAGAGAGGGGCCUAUGUCUGAUUAGCUUGUUGGUAGGGUAACGGCCUACCAAGGCAAUUAUCAGUAGCAGGCGUGAGAGCGUGACCUGCCUCACCGGGACUGAGACACUGCCCGGACUCCUACGGGAGGCUGCAGUCAAGAAUCUUCCGCAAUGGCCGAAAGGCUGACGGAGCGACGCCGCGUGCAGGAUGAAGGCCUUCGGGUUGUAAACUGCUUUUAUAUGGGAAGAAUUUGUGACGGUACCAUAUGAAUAAGAGGUUGCUUAA
rnacentral:rRNA from 1 species